CCAACAAAUUUAAAGACUACCUUCUACAAGCUGUGUUUUAAAAGUAAUGCAGUCUGUCCUAGAAGACAUCUGAGUCUAGAUAGAUACUCAUGUACUACAAACACACGUAAACAUGUGUGAGUAGUCUAAAGUCAAAUGUGUGUUAUUUAAAGUAUGACACAACCGACAUCUCUUUCACAGAAGCCGCGUGCUGUUUCCGGGUCCCAGCCUCCCACACCUCCUCCUGACCUUCUCCAGGUCUCAGGUUUGCAGGCCAGCCCUCAGCCUUCCUCUCCUGCCGCAGAGCUGCAGGUCCCCCAGCCUGUGUCUUCCACCCGUGAUUGUGUCCAGCAGGAUACAGUCACACAAAGCGACACAGCACUUAAGAUCCACGGUUACUCUCUUGAAGAGUACGAGAAGAUUUACCACUUUGUGGUGGAUGACAUGCUCAAAUAUAAAACUGGCAGACCUCGGCCCUACACCCUCCAGCAUGGGAGAGUAAUUAAACAGCGCCUGUGCGAAACAUUGGGUCGUCCAAAGAUAACCACAAAAGAAGGGCCUGAUAGACUCUUGGUAAUCGAAGAGUCUCACAGUAAGGAUGUCUACCCACCACUGAUAAAUGUGGAUAUCUCUAGAGAACCCAGACCUUGGGUACUCUUCACUAAGGGGUCAAAAUGAAGAAGAAAAUACUAGUACAACAUCAGAUGAUUGUUGGAAACGAUGUUGUACUAGUAAAGACUCCAAUCACUGUAAAUACAAACCACUUGUGCUGACUUCGGUUUACGUCUUAAACUCCACCUACAACUGGGAGAUUUAAAAAAAACACUUCAGCCUGACUCCACCUACAUCCAGCCAGCAGCAGUCUCAAGAUCCUCGUCCAUCCAACCAGUCUCUGCUCCAACAUCUAGGCCGCAAAUAAUAAAAGACACCGACAACAUCAAGUCCAAGUCCUCUUGCCUCAACUCCUACUGCAAGACAUCAGCAUCUGCUGAAUAUCCACAGCCUCCUACCAGCCUCCUCCAUCAUUUUCAACUUGUGUUCUCCGUAACAACGAGCUUCAAGACCAGUCCACCUGCUAUCACCAGCUGUAACAGCAGCCUCCAGCCAGACUCCAAACAUCAGUCCACAAGGUCGACCUCCGCUCCCAGCCUCCUACAACUUCUCCUGACCUUCUCCAGGUCUCAGGUUAAAAGCCCAGGCCACAGUCUUCCUCUCCCAACCCAGAGACAUGCUCAAGUAAGUUUGUAAAAUACAGCUGGAUUUUAAACCAUAGUGAUGAGACUGCAAAUACAUAUAUAGACACCAAGAAUCAAAAAGUCACUACCAAAACUGUUCUCCAGCUUCAACAACCAUCCGAAACGUCUGUCUCUGCCUCCAGUGUCCACCUGCUCCUUCCAGCCUCCUUCCUGCCAUCAUCCACAGCUUCC